CUAGGAAUCAUUGACUAGUAAAUAAUAAUUAGUUUGUAGAUAUAUCUACAAACUAAUUAUUAUUUACUAAAUGAUGACUUCCAAAGUGAUAGUGCUAACAGAGGAAAUGCAUGUUGUGUAUACACAUUAUUAUUAUUAUAUAGUACUGUAUUACUUCUUUGUUGAUUUUUCAGGCUGUUUUUACAUAUAUAAUAUGGAAGUACUAGGUGGUUGGCAUUAUUGAAUUCCCACAACUCCUGUUUAUUUCUUUCAGCAGUGAAUUAUUUCAACUUUUUUUUCAAUUCAUAGCACACUAAAUGAUGAUGUGCCUUAGCAGUUUUAAUUUAUCUCUUUUUUUAAGGAGAGAUUUUAUAAUUAAAAAGUCAAUAGAAUAUGAAGAUUGGUUUAAAAGUUCAAAAAUUGGACUAAUUAAUUCUACUCCAAACAAUAACUGGCUGGAGAUUGAUACUGGUGGCUUGAUAAAGAUGGAAGCUGGAGUGCUAAAAGUGCAUUGCAAAGUUAUUUUAGAUGGGAAUAACAAAGACAGUUUUUAGAAUUGUACUAUAAUAAUUUUUUUGAUAAAAUUGUUAUUGUUUUUAUUCUUAUUAGUCUUUUACAAAAAAUAUAUAGUACUUCUAUAAGUUACCUCAACAAUUUUGUUUUAUUCCUCAAUUUUGUCUUGCUUUCUUUUGAUUUUUCCUAACCUCCUGUGACAC
rnacentral:lncRNA from 1 species